rnacentral:lncRNA from 1 species
GAAGGGCUUUUAAAAUGCAUAUUUCCUUUUUCUCAGCAGAGUACAGAGUGUAUGAAACACCAUGUGUCUCUGUGACUGUUGGUAUGGAAGGGGUGCCCCACUGAUCACAGAGGAUGAAAAACCUGUAACUGCUGGAUCCAACAAGCUCCCUCCAGGCUCUUCCAUGGCUGGGUCAAGUGCAUAGAGGACAAGAACUUUGAAAGAUAUGUAACAAAUCACAGGGACCACUAGAUACAGAUGGCUUUACAGCUACUUCUAGGAGGAAAAACAAGAUUGCUUCAUCUGGUCUUCCUGUGCGACUGCACCUGGAUGAAGGCUGCAGGUCAUCUGGAAGAUAAAUUGAUCCCUUCUGUCUUCAGGGUAGAACACCCUUCCCUGGUUGUGACUUACUGGCAUCUUCCAAUCUGAAACAUGUCUUACUAUGG